AGACAAGGUCUAACUGUGCAUCCCAGGCUGGCCUUGAACUCUAAAUCCUCCUCACCCCCUGAGUGCUAGGAGUACAGGCCCAUGCCACCAUACCUGGUUCAGUCUUACUUUUUUCCUCCCAUUAAAAAAUAGCAGCAUAGCAAGUUGACAUGGAAUUUUAAUGUUGUUGAUUUUGUGUCUAUAAUAUCGUAACUAUCAGGAAGAGAGGAGGCUGCAGAUGUGGCUGGGUAGUGGAGAGCCAGCUUAGCAAGUAGGAUGCCCUCAGUUCAGCACCACUAAAAAAAAUGAGAGACAAGUAAAGCACUCCUAAUACUUUCUGAGAGAAACAGUGUUAACACGUCAUUCUCUCUCCCUUCCUCCUUUUCUCCCCUCAUUUGGAAUUUAGAUUUACAGGUCAGUUACAAAUACAAUGCAGAAAGUUCUCACCCCCAUCAUUUUACUCGGAUGUGUGUGAUGGUUCACACCAUCGUCCAUCUCCUUGGGAAGUGAGGCGAGAGGAUCACCUGAGCCCACAGGUUUGGUCCACACCAUCGUCCACCUCCUUGGAAAGUGAGGCGAGAGGAUCAUCUGAGCCCACAGACUUGAGACCAGCCUAGGCAACACAGGCAGCCCCGUGUCAAAACAAAGAAAGAAUAGAAAAUUUUAAAAUGUUUUCAGCUGGCUUGGUGCCAAGGGAGGAGGAUGGUGAGGUUCGGGCCGUCCUGGACUACAUAGUGAGAGCCUAUCUCAAAUAAAUACAUCAACAUAAAGUGAAGUAAAUUACAAAAGCAUGAUACUCUUGUGAAAUCCAGUAAAUUCAAAUCGAUUGCUGUACUACUAUUAACUAAUUCCAGAUGUUAUUUGGACCUCACUGACAUCAUUUGUUCACGCUACAGCAUUACAUAGUGUUACAUAGGAUUGCAUUUGCUUUUGAAAUAAUAGUUAGGAUUAGAAAUUAAUUUGGAUCUCUUGGGAUUUAAGCAGCUUUGUUUUAACUUCAUCUUCUUCAUAUUAUGAAUAACUGUGAUUGGCCUCAGUGAGUAAGGCCCAAACUCUUGGAGGUAACAGUCCUUUACUUGCUUUUGUUCUUCCCUGUGACUCUCCUACCUGUGUCUAGCAGCUGUAAUCACCUCCUCACUUCCUCUGGGAGCCCUCAGCAUCAAUGACAGAAUCAUCCCUCAGCCCCUGUUCUUCAGCUCUCCACGGAGAAACUGAGCAGAGAUGGUGCUUUCCUCCUGGAUGCAGGCUCUGCACUGAUGCUUUGCGCUGGGAAAAACUGUGCAGAGUUUUCUCCACCAAGUGCUAGGAAUUCCAAACUAUGCAUCAAUUCCACAGACUAUGACAGAAUUUGAUACACCAGAGUCUGCCAGAACAAUAGCUUUUGUCUCAUGGCAUAGAGAGCAGAGACCAUUUUUCUUAGUACUUUAUGUAAUAAGGAUAUACAACAGCUAUUAUGUAGGAGACCACCAAAUGUGAUGUCAAGAUUUAAGACUUAUUUCUUCUAAUCAAGGAUAUACAACAGCUAUUAUGUAGGAGACCACCAAAUGUGAUGUCAAGAUUUUGUUAACUAUUACUAAUAUAACCCUUACAUAGAAAUUUUAAUUUUAUAAAGUAGUGUAUAAUUCUAUAACAUUAAAUUCUUGUUCUCAAAUUAAAAUAUCUAUUGAUCUUCAAUAUGCUGUGUAAAAUCUUGCUUCUCUGGAAUUUUACCAACAAGGUUUUUCUUCCUUUUUACAAUUUAUAAUUUGCACUGUUUUAUUCUGUUUAAAAAAAAAGACUCAUUUGUAACCCAUGCAAACAAUCAUUUGAUCCGUACUAACUCAUGAAUUUGGCUUUCCAGUAAAGUUAAUUAAAAGCUUACACACAGCGACUGGCAAUCUUUCUUUUUUCUUGUGCUUGGAUAUGGGCUUUUUUCUAAGGUUUUAAGGUCUGCUGGGCAGACCUUUGGAGUUUCUGAUUAAGGUUUUUGGUGAGAUCUGAGAAUUUGCAUUUCUAGCAAGUUCCCAGGUUAGGCUGCUGGUCCAGGGACCUGACUGAGAAUUAUUGCCUCAAGGUAUUGUCUGCACAGCCUCCACCUCCCCCAGUGGGUUAGGUUAUUCCACCCUUGGGAGACAAGAUUCAAAACAAAUUUAUCCUGGACCCUCCCUCUUCUGGGAGGUGGGUGCUCUAGCUGGCAUCCAUUUCCGAGGCCCUGGGGACAGGUCUAGCGGUCAGGCUGGCAAGGCUGUCUUGUCAAAUGUUUCGGCUGGGCUUGAAAACCUAGGAUCUCUUGACAUAGCUGGCAGGACCAAGUUUUUCUGGGUAACCAACUGCCCAGCACAUGCUGAGCCUUGUUGAGUUUUUCCUUUUGGACUAUAAUGAAAGCCUCUGAGGCUAGUGGGGAGCUGGUCCAGGCCAGAUGUAAAGCAAGACCCCCAUCUCAAGAAUAACCAAUAUGAAAAGGACAGGCUGAGUGACUGAAGUAGGAGAGGAAAUUCCCUCCUCUUCCUCUUCUGCUUGGCUGGUGUUUAGAUGCAGUGGCAGGAGCUAGAGCAUCAUCUUGUACCACAAGCUGUGCAUGGAGGAUGACAGCAAUUAGAAAGGACACUUGGCCCCUCAUGUGGGAAAAGGUUAUUACUACAGCUAGAACUUUUGUGGGAGAGAGAAAAUUACAGACGAACCAAAUAGUUCUAUGUCCCCUGUAUCAGUUAUCUAUUGCUGUCUAACAAGUCACCCCCAAAAAACUAUCUGAAAACAGCACCUAUUUGUGCUUGUGAUUCUGUGGUUGGCAGCACAGGCAGGCACACCUGGACAGCUCUGCUGGUCUCACCUGAGUCCUCGGGCAGCGACAGCCAUCUGAUGGCACGGCCUUCCUCACAUGUCUGGCCGUGGAGCUGGCUGUCAGCUGAGUCACAUCUGUGUCAGGUCACCUCAGCCUUCUCCUGUGACACAAGGUUUCCCAGUAAGCAGCAAAACAGCAAGCCUAGUGCACAAGUGCUUUUCAAACCUCUGCUUUGUCACCUUUGUAAUGUUUCAUUGGCCAAGUCACAACAGAUCUUGACCAAAACAUCUUAUUGGAUCAAUGUGGGAGGGGUGAUGAAUAGGUAAGGACACAGGGAUAGGGAUUCAUGGAGGAGGGGCGCUACUACUGGAACAGCCAAGUGUGCUGUGACUAUAAAAACCAACCCUGGCUAAGUAAAAUUCAAUGUAAUCUGUCAACCUAACAAUGAAGAAGAAACCUCAAGCAUCUCAGUAGAUGCCAACACAAAAAGUUUUUGAUAAAUUUUUUGCUGUUGGCACUGGGAUUGAACUCAGCACUUUGCACUUGCAAAGCUGGCGCUCUACAACUCGAGCUAUAUCUCACCUCCAGUCCACUUUGCUCUGAUUAUUUUGGGGAUGGGAGCUCCCAAACUAUUUGCACAGG